AUUGAACGCUGGCGGCAGGCCUAACACAUGCAAGUCGAGCGGAUGAAGGGAGCUUGCUCCUGGAUUCAGCGGCGGACGGGUGAGUAAUGCCUAGGAAUCUGCCUGGUAGUGGGGGAUAACGUCCGGAAACGGGCGCUAAUACCGCAUACGUCCUGAGGGAGAAAGUGGGGGAUCUUCGGACCUCACGCUAUCAGAUGAGCCUAGGUCGGAUUAGCUAGUUGGUGGGGUAAAGGCCUACCAAGGCGACGAUCCGUAACUGGUCUGAGAGGAUGAUCAGUCACACUGGAACUGAGACACGGUCCAGACUCCUACGGGAGGCAGCAGUGGGGAAUAUUGGACAAUGGGCGAAAGCCUGAUCCAGCCAUGCCGCGUGUGUGAAGAAGGUCUUCGGAUUGUAAAGCACUUUAAGUAGGGAGGAAGGGCAGUAAGUUAAUACCUUGCUGUUUUGACGUUACCAAAAGAAUAAGCAACGGCUAACUUCGUG
rnacentral:rRNA from 1 species